rnacentral:tRNA from 1 species
GGAGGGGUGGCCGAGUGGCUGAAGGCGGCGGUCUUGAAAACCGCAUCCCGACCUGUCGGGACGGGGGUUCGAAUCCCUCCCCCUCCGCCA